CCUACGGGUGGCAGCAGUGAGGAAUAUUGGUCAAUGGGCUUACGCCUGAACCAGCCAAGUCGCGUGAGGGAAGACUGCCCUAUGGGUUGUAAACCUCUUUUGUCAGGGAGCAACGCCGGCUACGUGUAGCCGGACUGAGAGUACCUGAAGAAAAAGCAUCGGCUAACUCCGUGCCAGCAGCCGCGGUAAUACGGAGGAUGCGAGCGUUAUCCGGAUUUAUUGGGUUUAAAGGGUGCGUAGGCGGAAUUGCAAGUCAGCGGUAAAAUCCCGGGGCUCAACCUCGCUCCGCCGUUGAAACUGGCGGUCUUGAGUGGGCGAGAAGUAUGCGGAAGGCGUGGUGUAGCGGUGAAAUGCAUAGAUAUCACGCAGAACUCCGAUUGCGAAGGCAGCAUACCGGCGCCCAACUGACGCUGAAGCACGAAAGCGUGGGUAUCGAACAGGAUUAGAUACCCGAGUAGUC
rnacentral:rRNA from 1 species